GAAAUGCGAUAAGUAAUGUGAAUUGCAGAAUUCCGUGAAUCAUCGAAUCUUUGAACGCACAUUGCGCCCCCUGGUAUUCCGGGGGGCACGCCUGUCCGAGCGUCAUUUCAACCCUCAAGCACGGCUUGUGUGUUGGGCGACCGCCCCCGAGGGGGCGCGCCCGAAAUGCAGCGGCGGCAUCCGAAUUGCACGAGCGCAUGGGGCUUCGUCUAGCGCUUUAGGCAAGGAAAGGUGCCUGCCUCAACCACACUUCUCAGGUUGACCUCGGAUCAGGUGGGGAUACCCGCUGAACUUAAGC
rnacentral:misc_RNA from 1 species